rnacentral:rRNA from 1 species
GACGAACGCUGGCGGCGUGCUUAACACAUGCAAGUGGAGCGACGAACCAGGGCUUGCCCUGGGGCAGAGCCGCGAACGGGUGAGUAACACGUGGGUAACGUGCCCCGAUGACUGGGACAACCCGGGGAAACCCGGGCUAAUACCGGAUGUGCCCCCUCACAUCAGUGAGGUGUGUAAAGGAAGCUUCGGCCUCCGCAUCGGGAUCGGCCCGCGGCCCAUUAGCUUGUUGGUGAGGUAACGGCUCACCAAGGCAGCGAUGGGUAGCUGGUCUGAGAGGACGAUCAGCCACACUGGGACUGAGACACGGCCCAGACUCCUACGGGAGGCAGCAGUGGGGAAUCUUGCGCAAUGGGCGAAAGCGUGACGCAGCAACGCCGCGUGGGGGAAGACGGCCUUCGGGUUGUAAACCCCUUUCAGUUGGGACGAAGGUCGGGCGGUUAACAGCCGUUCCGGCUGACGGUACCUUCACAAGAAGCCCCGGCUAACUACGUG